AUUGAACGCUGGCGGCAGGCCUAACACAUGCAAGUCGAACGAGUGGCGGACGGGUGAGUAAUGUCUGGGAAACUGCCUGAUGGAGGGGGAUAACUACUGGAAACGGUAGCUAAUACCGCAUACCAUUGGAUGUGCACAGAUGGGAUUAGUUAGUAGGUGGGGUAACGGCUCACCUAGGCGACGAUCCCUAGCUGGUCUGAGAGGAUGACCAGCCACACUGGAACUGAGACACGGGCCAGACUCCUACGGGAGGCAGCAGUGGGGAAUAUUGCACAAUGGUGGCAAGCCUGAGGCAGCCAUGCCGCGUGUAUGAGGAAGGCCUUCGGGUUGUAAAGUACUUUCAGCGGGGAGGCGUUACCCGCAGAAGAAGCACCGGCUAACUCCGUGCCAGCAGCCGCGGUAAUUC
rnacentral:rRNA from 1 species